rnacentral:rRNA from 1 species
CCCUUAGAUGUCCUGGGCCGCACGCGCGCUACACUGAACGGAUCAGCGCGUUUUCCCUUCCCGAGAGGGACGGGUAACCUGCUGAACCCCGUUCGUGGUAGGGAUCGGGGCUUGCAAUUAUUCCCCGUGAACCAGGAAUGCCCAGUAAGUGCAAGUCAUAAGCUUGCGUUGAUUACGUCCCUGCCCUUUGUACACACCGCCCGUCGCACCUACCGAUUGAAUGGUCCGGUGAAUCUUUAGGACUGUGGCUGAGGCCUUGCCUUGUGCGGGUCUGGCCGUGGGAAUUUAGUUAAACCUUACCAUUUAGAGGAAGGUGAAGUCGUAACA